rnacentral:rRNA from 1 species
GUGUAACAACUCACCUGCCGAUGUAACUAGCCCUGAAAAUAGAUGUCGCUCAAGCGUCCUCCUGAUACUCGAUCAUCGGGGUAGUAAAGGCCCUUGCGUGUCUCGAAGCCCCAACGAGUAGGAGGGUCGUGAAGGUGAGAGUUGUAGGGAACGGCGUUAGCCGGCCUGGAGCAGCUGAUAUUGCAGAUCUUGGUGGUAGUAGC